AGAACGAACGCUGGCGGCAUGCCUAAUACAUGCAAGUCGAACGAACUCUUCGGAGUUAGUGGCGCACGGGUGCGUAACGCGUGGGAAUCUGCCCCUUGGUUCGGAAUAACAGUUGGAAACGACUGCUAAUACCGGAUGAUGACGAAAGUCCAAAGAUUUAUCGCCAAGGGAUGAGCCCGCGUAGGAUUAGCUAGUUGGUGAGGUAAAGGCUCACCAAGGCAACGAUCCUUAGCUGGUCUGAGAGGAUGAUCAGCCACACUGGGACUGAGGCACGGCCCAGACUCCUACGGGAGGCGGCAGUAGGGAAUAUUGGACAAUGGGCGAAAGCCUGAUCCAGCAAUGCCGCGUGAGUGAUGAAGGCCUUAGGUUGUAAAGCUCUUUUACCCGAGAUGAUAAUGACAGUAUCGGAGAAUAAGCCCCGGCUAACUCCGCGCCAGCAGCCGC
rnacentral:rRNA from 1 species